GGCCUCAGCUCGCGCAGUCCACCCUUAGAUCUUACAACUGAAGGUGGCGCUUUCAAAUCCCCGUUUCAUUACCUAUUUGUGCUUCCUAUCUACCGGAUACCGCGAACUGCUCUUCAUGCUACAGGGGGAGAAAAAGAUGCAUUCAGACCUUCAGUUUGUUUACUACAGUAACCAUGACGCUGGAAGACCGGGCGUGCAAUAUAAAACCCAGGAAGGGAGCGAUUAAAAGAAUAGAAACAAGACAAACAGGCAACACAGCCCAAAUCCCAGAAAGCAGAAGGGGCAUUGCUCUCAGGUUGCUGCCUCGGCCCCGUCAGCCGGGGAGAAGGGCUUUUUGGAGCAUUUGUUAAGUGCCACAAAGCCCUACCAGGAUUGAUAAAAAGCGUUUUCCUCUGAGGUUUUCAUGCAUUCCUUCAACAAAUAUUUACCAAGUGCCUAAUAUGUUACAAACAUUGUUCUAAUUGACAGACAUCUUUGCCCUCAUAAGAACUGACAUUAUCAUGGAGGAAAGAGAAAAUAAAGAACAAACAUAAUAAAUAAGUGAAUUACAUAUUGGAAGGUAAUUUUUAAAAAACAGAGCAAGCUAACAGCAUGAGUGUGUGGGGA
rnacentral:lncRNA from 1 species